rnacentral:rRNA from 1 species
CUCGUAGUUGGNUUUCGGAGCGGCGCGGUUGGUCAGCCGCAAGGUAUGUCACUGGGCGCGCUGUUCUUCUUCGCCAAGACUGCGCGUGCUCUUAGUUGAGUGUGCGCAGGAUUCGCGACGUUUACUUUGAAAAAUUU